rnacentral:ncRNA from 1 species
AAUAAAGUUUUGAUUAGAAGAAGUAAUCGGCUCUGAGUGUAAAGAGAGUUCCGCUGCUGAGAAGGGACCAUUCCGACCGGUGAAAACACAUCUAUGAACUAGUUGAUUGAACAGAGUAGAUCAAUUCGCAAGUUUAGCGUUAUCAGGGUUACCGCAACUGUUAUCGGGCAUUUGUCUGCUGAGUAGUUGUUGGCAACGUAAGGCAAUCUAUCGUGAGGUAGGUGCAAAUUGGGGUGGAACCGCGAUUAAAAUUCGUCCUCGAG